CCGGCCGGGAGCCGGCGAGCGGAAGCCGCGGCGCGGUGGCUUCUGGGAGAUGGGGCCGGGGUGCGCAGGCGCGAUCUCGCCGCGGCGGGCCGGGGGCGGGCACGGCAGAAGCCGGGGGAGCCUCCCGCACCUGCGAGGGUAUGGGCCUUUUACCGAGCUAGUCCAGGCUGGGAUGGCUGUUUGACGAACAGCAGCUGAAACUCUGGCUGUUCAGGGUACCCAGGGACAAGAGAAGAUUACCAUGUUGGAGCCAAAGGAAGAGGAGCAGCCUUGGGAUUGCGAGGGCAGGCCACCUGGGAACCACUCUGCGAGUCAAGAGGUCUUCCGCCAGCGCUUCAGGCAGCUCUGCUACCAGGAGACUCCUGGUCCCCGGGAGGCCCUGAGCCAGCUGCGAGUGCUCUGCUGCGAGUGGCUGAGGCCAGAGAGGCACAGCAAGGAGCAGAUCGUGGAGCUGCUGGUGCUGGAGCAGUUCCUGGCCAUCCUGCCUGAGCAGCUGCGGGCCUGGGUGCGGGGACGUCACCCCAGGAGCGGAGAGGAGGCCGUGACUGUGCUGGAGGAUUUAGAGAAAGCACUUGAACCAGAACCGCAGGUGGGAAGGGGGAUUGGAUCUGUUGCGGGAGCCACGUCAGCGACCUCCAGGCUGGACAGAGGGGCAGCAGUAGGGGGAGUUGCCAAGUUCCGGCCCGGCCAGGGGGCUCUCUGAAGUCUCCUCGGGAACGUCGGUCCCACAUAAACCGAGUGGUGCCUGAUCACCUCCAGGUCCCAGGCCCCGCACGUGGACCUGCGCAGGAAGAGCCAUGGGAGAAGCCGCCGCCUCUGGGAGCAACUCAGGAGACACGGGACAUUCCGCUGCAGCCUACGGAGCCCCGGCUCAAGUGUGAAUCUCGGGACCCCCAGCCUUUCCCACUGAGUGCACAGGAGUAUUUACAUUUUCCGCCAGUUGUUAUAGAAGACGGCGCAGAGCCCAAGGACAAAGGGGCGUUGCUAGAACCACCCAGUACUGAAGUGGAAUCACCGGCGUCCUCAGAAACACCAGCCACCGCCUCCCUCACCUCCGCAUUCGAAGCUACCUCUCAAGUUGAAGGCGCCUUAGAACAGCAGCAGAGAAAUCCCAAAGCGGGGAGACCAAGGCAGUCCCCUGCCCAGGGAGCGAGUUUGAGGCAGAUGGUCGUCACCCACAAGAAAGCUCCCCCAGGGAAGAAAGACCAUGAAUGUAAUGAAUGCGGUAAAGCCUUCAUUUAUAACUCACACCUUGUAAUCCACCAGCGGAUCCAUUCUGGAGAGAAGCCCUACAAAUGCAGUGACUGUGGGAAAACUUUCAACCAGAGCUCAAACCUCAUUCAGCACCAGAGGAUUCACACAGGGGAGAAGCCCUACGAAUGCAGCGAGUGCGGGAAGGCCUUCAGGUGGGGCGCUCAUCUUGUCCAGCACCGGAGGAUCCACUCCGGAGAGAAGCCCUAUGAGUGUAAGAAGUGCGGGAGGGCCUUCAGCCAGAGCUCCUAUCUGAGUCAGCAUCUGCGAAUCCACAGUGGAGAGAAGCCCUUCGUUUGUCAAAGAUGCGGGAAGGCCUACAGGUGGAGCUCAGAGCUUAUCAGACACCAGAGAGUUCAUGCUGGCCCAGCGCCUGCCCAGUCUGUGCAGGGUGAGCGAGUCUCCAGAAAGACGUCUGUCUGAUCUUUAGGAUUGGAUUCCAUAAAAGUUAAAAGCGUUUUAAGGUU